rnacentral:ncRNA from 1 species
GGAUCAGAGCCGCCGGGAGCUGGGUGUCGACCCAUUUCCGCAAUGGGCGAAAGCCUGACGGAGCAAUGUCGCGUGGAGGUGGAAGGCCUACGGGUCGUCAACUUCUUUUCUCGGAGAAGAAACAAUGACGGUAUCUGAGGAAUAAGCAUCGGCUAACUCUGUGCCAGCAGCCGCGGUAAGACAGAGGAUGCAAGCGUUAUCC